UAGCGACGGUGACGCUACUUGAUGUCGCUCGGAUCGCCUUCCAGUCCGGAGAACGAGAUCGAACCGGUCGCCGCGUCGACAUCGGCGAUCGGCGCCGUCGCCGUCGCCGGAGCACCGAUCAGAGCCGCCGAGCCAAGCGGGGCCGCCUCCCGCGCGAGCGAUGAUAACUCGAUCGAAGCUCGUUGAGCGGCUCAGAGACCACCAGGUCCGGUCCCGGCGCCGUUGCCCUGGCCUCGCGCUCUUCUCCCCCAAACCACACAUCGCCACCCGGGCUGAUGCUGCUGUGGCUAUAUUUUGGGCUGUGGUGUUUAGCAUACUCGUCGGACUCACUUAUCUGGCGUUCUGUCAUGGUCAUUUCUGGCUGUCCUUUUUGACUGCAGGCCUUGGAAGCUGUCUACUUGUAUGCUUCUGGAAAUCUAGGCAUGCGCUGGCCAGAGAAAAGGAGAAAAGAUUACCGCUGUCCCUGUGAGCAUCGAUAAGUAUUUGACAUGAAAUCUUCUAACUUGGUCAAGGAGCUUUGGUUGCUCACCUUCGAAUCGAGCAAAUUGGCAAAUACAUCCCUGGUGCACGUGAUAAUGGUUGCCCAGAGUUUUGCCUGCCACUGUGAGAUAAUGGUACCAUUUCAUGUAUCAUUCUUUGUAACCCAAAUUCAUCCCGCAAAAUUUUGAUGCAUGCUGUUCUUCUCUUAUUCAUCAUGCUUCCUUUUCAUGUAAAUACCAUAUACAAGCAAAGUUAUAGACGAGUUCUUGUUAAUCUUCCCUUAGCACUUUUAUGACUUGUAAAUUACAUCUCCUAGGACUUCAUGCAUGAGUAAUCUCUCAAUGAAGUUGGUGUAACAUGCUUUUGCACAGAUUUGACAUGUGAAAGGAUGCUACUAAGGCGGAACAUAAAAAUUAAGACUAUGCUAUAAGAGAAUUGACAUGAGAGUUGCCUAGGCUGCUUUAGUUAACAGGUUCAAUAUUAAGCUUCGCUGUAUCACCUUUCCGUUUUUUAUUCUUCUCCUUUCUACAAUCCCUCUGUGGCACCUUUAAAGCUUUUGUGUGCCUUUCUCUCAUCACUAAAUGGAAUUACAUAUUAUCCAGAAAGGAAGAAGAACAAUCCUAUCUUAUGCAAUACCCUGGUCAGAAUCUGAUCUUAUCAUAGUUUAUUCCUGUACACAUAGGCUCUUCAUUUUAGCACGCAUACGAAGUUGAGGAUGUGGAGAUGAUUUGAUGGCUUGAGAGUUCUUUGAGGAUAAUUUGCAUGAGUAUUCGUGCUGGGUAGUUGAAUUCACUUGUUAUCCUAAGAGACUUCACCAAUGGGGCAGAUUUAGUACCAGUAACCAUGUGCCUUUUGAAGGCUAAUGUUCUGCCAAGCCUUCUUAUGAAAGACUAAUCAAUGGCACACACAUUCUUGCAGUGACAACUAGUCAUUCUAAGACCAAUUUCUAAUCCAUUCACCUAUCUAUUAUCAGUUCAAAUAUCUCUUUCCCUUUUGUCUUCGUGCUGUUGUUAGUCAGAGAUUUGUAUGCCUGGUAAUACGUUUGCUGUUUUUACCACUCUCUUUUUUUGGAAAGACAAGUUUUACAUUCCAUUCUAUUUUGGACUUUUUACUGGUAAUGUUCUGCUUUCAUGUUUUUGAGGCAAUGAUUGGACUUACUCAAUUGGACUUACUCAUUUUGGUGUAAGGUCCUUGCUAGCUAUAGUUGGGAUUAUCAAUGCUUAAUCCUCUGGAUACUUCUCUCCUUUGCUGCAACAUUUUUGGUCAGACUUGGAUUGGUUCACAAACCCUCUGCUGCUGCGUGUUACACAUUCUUUUUCUUUUUGUUCUUUAUCGAGCAUGAAUUGCAUAUAUUUUGGUCCAUCUCGUGCUGCCCUAGUACUGCAGCUGUAUAGGGUUGUUUCAAUCAAUUCAGUUAGUUCAUUUGAUUGCAGAAAAGUUUGCAUGCUUUUUAACUAAAAAGAGUGGGUUUGAUUUGAUUGACGUCAGUUGCCAAUGGUCACAAUUGUUCUGGAGGAGUUCGCUCACUAGGCAUAUGUUGAAGAGCAAAUCAUGGAUCUGAAAUUUGUAAUCCAGUGAUGGAAGCAUAUUCUUUAAGCCAGUGGAAUGCACAGCUCUCAUCAUGUGAUAGUCCUGGAUCAAUAUAGACUCCAGCUAGAUUUAGACUGCUAAGUUGUUUGGUCAGUAUUUGAGUGGAUUAAUGAUGCCCUUGUAGCUUUAGACAGAGUUGCCUCUUGCCAGUCAUGUACAAUAUAGUCAAUGUUGCUCUGUUAUUGCAGCUCAAGCACUGUGAUUCGUUUACUUCC